rnacentral:misc_RNA from 1 species
GGACGCCGAAGGUGGGGCUAAUGACUGGGGUGAAGUCGUAACAAGGUAGCCGUACCGGAAGGUGCGGCUGGAUCACCUCCUAACAGGGAGACAACAAAAUGUUUAAUAUUAUUAUUUUGUCACCUUAGGUCGAUCGGUAUCUCACGUUCUUAAUUUAUUAAGAAUUUCAUUUCCUAAGUUUUUCUAGGUCACACCCAUUAUUUUUCCUGGGCCAUUAGCUCAGGUGGUUAGAGCGCACCCCUGAUAAGGGUGAGGUCCCUGGUUCAAGUCCAGGAUGGCCCAUAUCUCUAUGUUGGGGGUAUAGCUCAGUUGGUAGAGCGCCUGCUUUGCAAGCAGGAUGUCAGCGGUUCGAGUCCGCUUACCUCCACUGAUUACCACCUCUUCCAUAACCGGUAGAAAGGAAAUUUUUUGAGUUGUGAUCAAAUCCUGAAAGAAUCUAGCUUCCUAAUGAAAUCAUUAAGAUGCUGGACUCAUUGAAUUAAUUUCAUUGUUUUCAGAGAACCUUGACAACUGCAUAGAUUAUUUUUAAAGACAAUAAGCAUCUUUAAUGAUGCAGAUUUAUUAUUUGUGCGAAUGCAUUAAUAACAAUUCUAUUAAGCUGAUGCUUCAAUUUUGAAGUUAUUGGUCAAGCUACAAAGGGCUCACGGAGGAUACCUAGGC